rnacentral:rRNA from 1 species
CUGCUGCCUUCCGUAGGAGUCUGGUCCGUGUCUCAGUACCAGUGUGGGGGACCUUCCUCUCAGAACCCCUACGCAUCGUCGCCUCGGUGGGCCGUUACCCCGCCGACUAGCUAAUGCGCCGCAUGCCCAUCCCCCGCCGGAAUCGCUUCCUUUGGCCGCAGACCCAUGCAGGUCCGCGGCGUUACGCGGUAUUAGUCGGGAUUUCUCCCGGUUAUCCCCUGCGGGGGGUCAGGUCGCAUACGUGUUACUCACCCGUGCGCCGGUCGCCGG